rnacentral:rRNA from 1 species
UGGUUCUUAUAGCGUAGUAGAUCAACAUUGACCCAUUCCGAACUCAAUUGUUAAAUGCUACAGCGGCAAAAAUACUGAAAAAGAAAUUUUUUGGAAAACUAGCUCAGAGCCAAAACU